UACAUGGGGUGCAAACGUUGCUCGGAAUCAUUGGGCGUAAAGCGCGCGUAGGCGGUUUGUUAAGUGGGAUGUGAAAUCCCCGGGCUUAACCUGGGAAUUGCAUUUCAAACUGGCCGACUAGAGUACGGUAGAGGGAGGUAGAAUUUCCUGUGUAGCGGUGAAAUGCGUAGAUAUAGGAAGGAAUACCAGUGGCGAAGGCGGCCUCCUGGAUCGAUACUGACGCUGAGGCGCGAAAGCGUGGGGAGCAAACAGG
rnacentral:rRNA from 1 species